GCGUUUCUCCUUUUUUUUUUUUUUUUUUUUUUAAGCUUCUCAGAGGUGCCUGGUAUAGAAUUAUAGCGGAAAAACUGUCUGUUUCCCCUGUUCCAAAAUUUUCUUGGGAAAAUGACGGAAAAUUCCGAACUAUGAUCGUUUUCAUGUUGUGGAAAUGAGGGGAUCCUUUUGGGUGGACGAAUCUAAUCCCCCAUCUACCUCCAGCUCGCAUCCUCGCAUUCAUCCUCACCCUCCCUCUUCGCGCCGUCACAGUGGUAAUAAUGUGUUUCGACUGCUGGCACUAAGAGAGGUUUGCCCUCGAGCAAAGCAUGCCUCGAAAAAUUGGUUGGGUGAAUCCUCCGAUCAGCGUCUGGAUUCCCUUGAGCUUUUUUCUGAAUCAGCCCGAGAUGCCAGGCGCGCUCUCGUUUCAUGGGCGGAGGCAGAAUCUUUGCUGCAUUUAUCAGCCAAGUAUUGUCCGCUGUUGCCUCCUCCAAGAUCAACCAUAGCUGCAGCCUUCAGUUCUGAUGGGAAGGCCCUUGCUUCUACGCAUGGAGAUCAUACUGUAAAGAUUAUUGAUUGCCGAACUGGGAAAUGCUUAAAGGUCUUGAGUGGUCAUCGGAGGACACCUUGGGUAGUUAGAUUUCAUCCUUUAUGCCCAGAAAUACUAGCAAGCGGAAGUUUGGAUCAUGAAGUUCGUCUGUGGAAUGCAAAUGCUGCAGAGUGUAUAGGAUCUCGUGACUUCUACCGUCCAAUUGCUUCUAUUGCUUUUCAUGCUCAUGGGGAGCUUCUUGCUGUAGCUUCUGGUCACAAGCUAUACAUAUGGCAAUAUAACAAUAGAGGGGAGACAUCCUCACCAGCUAUUGUGCUGAAGACACGUCGUUCACUUCGUGCUGUGCAUUUUCACCCACAUGGUGCUCCAUUUCUCUUAACAGCAGAGGUAAAUGACCUCGAUUCAUCUGAUUCCUCAAUGACGCUCGCAACUUCUCCAGGGUAUCUGCGCUAUCCUCCUCCUACUGUAUAUUUGGCAGAUGCUCAUUCUGAUGGCCGCCUUGGCUUAGUGGAUGAACUGCCUUUAAUGUCCUUGCCCUUCCUUAUACAGCCUUCAUUUUCUAGAGAUGUUGGUAGAAUACCUCUGCAGCAAAAUGAUGGAGAUGUUGGUUCAAGUCGUGUGCAACAAAGACUUGAUCCUUUCACUUCCGUGCGGCUUCUGACAUAUUCAACUCCAUCAGGCCAGUAUGAACUUCUGCUGUCUCCGAUUGAACCUAAUAGCUCAUCUCCUGUACCAGAAGAAACUCGGACUGAUUCUUUAAUGGGUGACAUUGAUAACGAAGCUCCUCAAUUCGCAAUGGAUAUUGUUGAGACAGCAGAAGUGCAGACUGUAGAGAGAAAUAAUUCCACCUUACCCUUUGGUGAUAGACUGUACUGGGAAGUUCCUUUUUUGCAUGGGUGGUUAGUUGGCCAGAGCCAAACGGCGCGCCACACAAUGGGUUCACUUAGUGGCUUGGCUCAUGAAAAUUUAAGAGCAUUUGGUGGAACAGAAAAUCAUGCUUCAUCCCCUGUAAUUCCAAUCAGUAUUGGCCAAUCUAGGGGCAGUGAGAGAUCUGGUCUGCAUUAUCGAUCUUCUCGAUCCCAAACAUCAGCAACUGGGUCUGGUGUUGGUAGCAUGGGACGUAGUGAAAAUGAUGCUCUGCCUGUUGCUAGCAGAAUCCACUCUGAAUUUGCUACCUCUUUGGCUGCAGCUGCUGCCGAAGAAUUACCUUGCACUGUCAAGUUAAGAAUUUGGCCAUAUGAUGUAAAAGAUCCCUUUGCCCCUCUUGAUGCCAAGCGAUGUCGCCUAACCAUACCACAUGCUGUACUUUGCAGUGAAAUGGGUGCUCAUUUUUCACCUUGUGGGAGAUUUUUAGCAGCUUGUGUUGCAUGUUUGCUUCCUCAUCCGGAAGCUGAGCCUGGCUUACAAGGCCAGGUGCUUCAUGAUAAUGCCGGGGCUGCGACAUCCCCAACACGACAUCCAAUUUCAGCCCAUCAAGUUAUGUAUGAGCUUCGGAUAUAUUCCCUUGAGGAGGCAACGUUUGGCUUGGUGCUUGCAUCCCGGGCUAUAAGAGCUGCUCACUGUUUGACUUCAAUUCAGUUUUCUCCCACAUCAGAGCACUUACUGCUUGCCUAUGGUCGUCGGCACAGUUCACUACUUAAAAGCGUUGUCAUUGAUAGGGAGACAACAGUACCGAUUUACACUAUCCUUGAGGUCUACCGAGUUUCUGAUAUGAAACUUGUAAGAGUUCUUCCUAGUGCAGAAGAUGAGGUCAAUGUUGCAUGCUUUCAUCCCUCAAUUGGAGGUGGGCUUGUUUAUGGGACUAAGGAAGGGAAGCUUAGGAUCCUUCAAUAUGAUACUUCUCAUGGUACUAAUUAUACAUCCUCUAUUCUUGACGAGCGAAUGCUAGAGGUAGAAGCAAUGACAAAUGUCCCAACAUACGCUUUAGAAUGCUAAUCACUAGUGCUCAGGAGCCACAUGAGUUAUAACACUUAAAACAUUGUGAGUUAUAACACUUAAAUGUUAUGUUUCUGACUGAGGAAGAAUAUAUUGCAAGAUUCUCCCCACCACCCCUUUUCACCUUUGCAUCAUUUGGUUUUCGUUAUGUCUGCAAAAACUUGUAGUAGUAGACAGUGGCAGAUCCACCUUCAAAAUGGAAGGGUCAAUUGACCCCCCUUUUCAUUAAAACAUUCCAUAUGUAUACACAUAUGUUUAAAUUGACCUCUCGUAAAUUUAAUUGUUAAACCUUUUUUUGAUAAAUAUUAAAGUAAAUUGCUCAUUUGUCAUGUUGACCUUAGAAAAUUUUUUUUCUAAAUCUGCCACUGGUAGUAGAUCUGUGAAGUGUUCCUCAUUAUAAUAUUGGUGUCCUGGUGCUAUAUAAUAUAGGUGCAUUAUUUGCACUAGUUAAGAGGCUUUUGAUCUAUUUACUUCUGCAAGCUACUUGUUUCUUAGGUUGGAAAAUCUUUGGAUAUUUGUUAUGUCUAGAAGGAUUUGAAAUGUUCUUAAUUUUGGUAAAUGUAAUCCAUGAUGACUGGUUUGAUUUUUAGAGAGAGCUGAUUAUAAACUCUAUCAAUGAUCUCUCACUCACACACACACACACACACACACACACACACACACACACACACAGGGUGAGAUGGUCUGUCAUAAAAUACUGCAUUGAGGUGUCGAGUGACUGUUUCAAGCAACCUAGAUUUCUUGACCAGCCAUUGGACGAUUGGUUCAAAUUUUGCAUAAUGAAAAAAGGGCAAUUAAAGGGCCUAUUGUACAAAAUUCUCCCUACUCUAUGAGGAUUUUAAUUAUUCAUUCAUCCAUAUGAAGUAGUACGUGUGUGGUAAAAGUUAAAAUUA